UGUGCAGGCGGUUUGUUAAGACAGGUGUGAAAUCCCCGGGCUUAACCUGGGAAUUGCGCUUGUUACUGGCAGACUAGAGUGCGUCAGAGGGAGGUGGAAUUCCACGUGUAGCAGUGAAAUGCGUAGAGAUGUGGAGGAACACCGAUGGCGAAGGCAGCCUCCUGGGAUGACACUGACGCUCAUACACGAAAGCUGGGAGCAAACA
rnacentral:rRNA from 1 species